rnacentral:rRNA from 1 species
UCGAGCGGAAACGAGAAUAGCUUGCUAUUCGGCGUCGAGCGGCGGACGGGUGAGUAAUGCUUAGGAAUUUGCCCAGUCGAGGGGGAUAACUAUUGGAAACGAUAGCUAAUACCGCAUACGCCCUACGGGGGAAAGGAGGGGACCUUCGGGCCUUUCGCGAUUGGAUAAGCCUAAGUGAGAUUAGCUAGUUGGUGAGGUAAUGGCUCACCAAGGCGACGAUCUCUAGCUGGUCUGAGAGGAUGAUCAGCCACACUGGAACUGAGACACGGUCCAGACUCCUACGGGAGGCAGCAGUGGGGAAUAUUGCACAAUGGGCGAAAGCCUGAUGCAGCCAUGCCGCGUGUAUGAAGAAGGCCUUCGGGUUGUAAAGUACUUUCAGCAGUGAGGAAGGGUGUGUAGUUAAUAACUGCACAUCUUGACGUUAGCUGCAGAAGAAGCACCGGCUAACUCCGUGCCAGCAGCCGCGGUAAUACGGAGGGUGCGAGCGUUAAUCGGAAUUACUGGGCGUAAAGCGCAUGCAGGUGGUUUGUUAAGUCAGAUGUGAAAGCCCGGGGCUCAACCUCGGAAUAGCAUUUGAAACUGGCAUACUAGAGUACUGUAGAGGGGGGUAGAAUUUCAGGUGUAGCGGUGAAAUGCGUAGAGAUCUGAAGGAAUACCAGUGGCGAAGGCGGCCCCCUGGACAGAUACUGACACUCAGAUGCGAAAGCGUGGGGAGCAAACGGGAUUAGAUACCCCGGUAGUCCACGCUGUAAACGAUGUCUACUUGGAGGUUGUGGCCUUGAGCCGUGGCUUUCGGAGCUAACGCGUUAAGUAGACCGCCUGGGGAGUACGGUCGCAAGAUUAAAACUCAAAUGAAUUGACGGGGGCCCGCACAAGCGGUGGAGCAUGU